rnacentral:rRNA from 1 species
UGAGUACGAGCUGCUACGGCAGCGAAGUGGGUGAUGUCAAGCUUCCAAGAAAAGCCCUAUACCCGUUAAGGCAUGAUGGCCUGUACCCGAAACCGACACAGGUGGGGUGGUAGAGAAUACCGAGGGGCGCGAGAUAACUCUCUCUAAGGAACUCGGCAAAAUGGCCCCGUAACUUCGGGAGAAGGGGUGCCACCGCAAGGUGGUCGCAGUGAAGAGGCCCAGGCGACUGUUUACCAAAAACACAGGUCUCCGCUAAGUCGCAAGACGAUGUAUGGGGGCUGACGCCUGCCCAGUGCCGGAAGGUUAAGGAAGCUGGUCAGCGACAGCGAAGCUAGCGACUGAAGCCCCGGUGAACGGCGGCCGUAACUAUAACGGUCCUAAGGUAGCGAAAUUCCUUGUCGGGUAAGUUCCGACCCGCACGAAAGGCGUAACGAUCUGGGCGCUGUCUCGGAGAGAGGCUCGGCGAAAUAGAAUUGUCUGUGAAGAUGCGGACUACGUGCACCCGGACAGAAAGACCCUAUGAAGCUUUACUGUAGCUUGGUAUUGUGCUCGGGCUCGGAAUGCGCAGGAUAGGUGGGAGGCUAUGAACCAUUGCUUGAGGGUGAUGGUGAGCCACUGGUGAGAUACCACUCUUUCCGAGCUAGAGUUCUAACAGCCACCCGUUAUCCGGGGGCUGGACAGUAUCAGGUGGGCAGUUUGACUGGGGCGGUCGCCUCCUAAAAGGUAACGGAGGCGCGCAAAGGUUUGCUCAGGCUGGUUGGAAAUCAGCCGACGAGUGUAAAAGCAGAAGCAAGCUUGACUGUGAGACCUACAAGUCGAACAGGGAGGAAACUCGGCUUUAGUGAUCCGACGGUUCUGCGUGGAAGGGCCGUCGCCCAACGGAUAAAAGUUACUCUAAGGAUAACAGGCUGAUCUCCCCCAUGGGUUCACAUCGACGGGGAGGUUUGGCACCUCGAUUUCGGCUCAUCGCAACCUGGGGCUGAAGUCGGUCCCAAGGGUUGGGCUGUUCGCCCAUUAAAGCGGUACGCGAGCUGGGUUCAGAACGUCGUGAGACAGUUCGGUCCAUAUCCGGUGCAUGCGCAGGAAUAUUGAGAGGAUUUCUCCCUAGUACGAGAGGACCGGGAGGAACGCACCUCUGGUGUACCAGUUAUCGUGCCAACGGUAAACGCUGGGUAGCCAUGUGCGGAGAGGAUAACCGCUGAAAGCAUCUAAGUGGGAAGCCCACCUCAAGAUGAGUAUUCCCAUGGGGUAACCCAGUAAGGUCACGGGAAGAACACCCGUUGAUAGGCUCUACGUGGAAGCGCAGUAAUGUGUGAAGCGGAGGAGUACUAAUAGACCGAGGGCUUGACC